AAGACUAUAUUUUCAGGGAUCAUUUUUAUAUUUCGUUACUAGAAAAGUUUCUCUGAACAUGGUAGAGCACUGAAAACCAUGAGGAGGAGGUGCAGCGCUUUCUCCUGAGUGUGAAGCUGGCUCUAGGUGUUGCUUCACUGCAGCUGCCAUUUGCCAUUGAUGGUCAUUCUUCUCUUCGUUCAGGAGAGUAAGAAGAAAAUGCAGUCUGAGUG